AAUGUCGAAAACUAUUGCUAGAUGGUAUCUUCGAUUAGUACAGAAAUUGAUUCUUGUACUAUCAGCUUAGUGCUCGAACCUAUAGAGCCACGCACAAAAGUCAGAUGAUGUAGAAAAGUAUUGACCUAUGUUUAUAUGUCUAAUUUGAAAGUACUUGACUUGAUUGAACAUAUAGACUAACUUAAUUGAGAAUUAAGUUAUGGGUCAAACGGGAUUGAAGAGUUGACUAUAUCUAU
rnacentral:lncRNA from 1 species